rnacentral:rRNA from 1 species
UACGGGGGGGGCAAGCGUUGUUCGGAAUUACUGGGCGUAAAGGGUUUGUAGGUGGCUUGUUAAGUCAGACGUGAAAUCCCUCAGCUUAACUGGGAACUGCGUGUGAUACUGGAUGGCUUGGAUUUGGGAGAGGGAUGCGGAAUUCCAGGUGUAGCGGUGAAAUGCGUAGAUAUCUGGAGGAACACCGGUGGCGAAGGCGGCAUCCUGGACCAAUAUUGACGCUGAGGAGCGAAAGCCAGGGAGCAAAGCGGG